rnacentral:rRNA from 1 species
GAUGAACGCUGGCGGCGUGCCUAAUACAUGCAAGUCGAGCGGACAGACCAGGAGCUUGCUCCUCUGACGUUAGCGGCAGACGGGUGAGUCACACGUGGAUCCCCUACCUGUAAUACUGGGAUAACCUCGGAAAACCGGCUCAUAUCCCAUAUAAUAUAUUGCACCGCAUGGUUCAAUGGAGAAAGACGGCUUUGCUGUCUCUUAUCGCGGCUUCCGCGCCGGAUUAGGUGGUUGGUAAGGUAACGGCCUACGAAGGCUAGCAUGCGUGGCCGACCUGAGAGGGUGAUCGGCCACACUGGAACGGAGACACGGUCCAGACUCCUAAGGGAGGCAGCAGUAGGGAAUCGUCCGCAAUGGGCGAAAGCCUGACGGAGCAACGCCGCGUGAGUGAUGAAGGCCUUCGGAUCGGAAAACCCGGUUAUUAGGGAAGAACAAAUGUGUAAGGAACCAAGCACGUCUUGACGGUACCUAAUCAGAAAGCCACGGCUAACUACGUG